rnacentral:rRNA from 1 species
AGAACGAACGCUGGCGGCAUGCCUAACACAUGCAAGUCGAACGAGACCUUCGGGUCUAGUGGCGCACGGGUGCGUAACGCGUGGGAAUCUGCCCUUGGGUUCGGGAUAACAGUUGGAAACGACUGCUAAUACCGGAUGAUGACUUCGGUCCAAAGAUUUAUCGCCCAGGGAUGAGCCCGCGUAGGAUUAGCUAGUUGGUGAGGUAAAGGCUCACCAAGGCGACGAUCCUUAGCUGGUCUGAGAGGAUGAUCAGCCACACUGGGACUGAGACACGGCCCAGACUCCUACGGGAGGCAGCAGUGGGGAAUAUUGGACAAUGGGCGAAAGCCUGAUCCAGCAAUGCCGCGUGAGUGAUGAAGGCCUUAGGGUUGUAAAGCUCUUUUACCCGGGAUGAUAAUGACAGUACCGGAGAAUAAGCCCCGGCUAACUCCGUGCUAGCAGCCGC